CACCACUGCAACACGUCUGUAUGACUCUGGCCUAGACGAACGGCUUAUCGCUGAGAGGACAGGGCACAGGUCUGUGGCAAUACGAAGCUACAAGGUAUGCAUGAGGACCCUACCUCCUGACACCUGUCAAGAACCCUGCAAAUGAAAAAGAGGAGAAAUACAACCGCUGUCACAUUGGAACAAGGAACUCAGUUGAGAGGGCAUUUGGAUUGUGCAAAUCUAGAUUCAGGUCCAGCCUCUGUCUUUGGAUGUCACCCAAGUCCCUCUGUACAGACAGAAUUUUCUCAAGGAGAGACAUCUUUUCUCUCCUCCUGGGCUUGUAAGGACUUUAUCUCUCCCAGAAUGUCUUCUGAAAAUAUUCAGACAAUUUCGGUUACAUUAAUGAUGUUUGGAUGUUCAUUAAUAUUAUUUCAUUAAACAUUUAUGAUCACAUGUAAUACAGAUACUACUACAUUAUGAACAAAUCAAUACCAUACCUUCAUUAGAUGUUUUCUUGGUCCCUUUAGGUUUUCCUUGAAAUAAAAUUUGUAUUUUUAUUAA